CCUUGAUCAACAUCAGGUACAGCAUCCACAAGAGAUGGGAGCUUGCCACAGUAGUUAUUCUGAAAACAUGGCAAGGGAUUUUCAGAAAGGGACAUACCAUCCAUAAAACUUUGAAUUUCAUCAGUAUUGAACUGACAAACUCCAUUUAAGAUCAAACAAGAUGGAUGGCUCCCAGCACCUUCAGAAAAGUUCCCGGGAUGGGAGAUGGUGAGAGGUUGAGUAAUGCUGGUACUGCUUUCUGAGUUACUGAAAUGGCCAGGAAAAUUCCAGCUCUUCAUUCCCUUGAUCUCUUCCCGAUGGGCCCGAAGAUGCCCACCUACAGCCUGGGGACUGUAGAACACUCUUUGGCAAAAUAAGCAGCGGAAACCCUUUUCAAGGUUCAAAAAGAAACUCAUUCUCGAAGUGAAAAAUGAGACCCUUUAUAGACUUCUUGCAAGAAGUAAAACUAGCAGGAGCAAUAAAAAUGAAGGGAUGAGGAAGAGUGCCUUUCACCUUACCUCUAUUUAUACACUUUAACAGGGUAGCUAGAGGCCAUAGGGCUGAAGAGUAAUUAAAAGAAAACAACAAUACUGAUAAAUCUCAUUUAAGAAAAUAUCUCAGAGAAAGCACAAAAGUUAAAAAGUUGCCAGUAAAGCUUCAUGCGGUAGAUUCUUUCCAGAAAUCCUAUCUGCAUGCAUAAUAUCCAUUAAAUGCGUAGAAAUGCAUCAACGGCAAUUACGCGUUGCAAAACAAAUGUCAUAGCACAACGGAUAGUACACCUGCUAUAGUAGGGUCAGGAAACAACCUUUAAUUAACACUUACAAAUCUGUUCAGGGGUAAGGAUAUUUUAGCUUUAAUAGUCUGCAAAACUUGGGUUUUAGAUGGUCACUUUUCUACGUAUUAGCUUGCUAUAUCUGGCAGGAGCCUGUAAUCAUGGUCAAAGUGUGUUUUAGUCAAAACGUAAAAAUUAAAUAAAAGAAAUUAGAAAUAUACAUGAGCCAAGUAGAGCUGUCUCGCAUAUGCUACUAGAUUCGAUUUUAUGAGACGCCGCUUUGUGCACAGAUUGUAAGAUUAGGACUAUAGAACCUUACUUUCCUAGAAAUAACACCAAGCUUGGCCUAUCUCAGUGGAUGUACUACAAGUGUGUACACACAUUAUACAUAUAUCUGUUUGUGUGUCUACAAUAUUUAUGCCUGCAUGUGUGUCUACAAUAUUUAUGCAACUUAGGUAGAUAUGUUAUAUAAGUGAUUGACCUAUUAAAACUUUAUGACAUCAACCUCAUCGAGUGCACAGUCAAAUCUUCAUUUGCUUAAAUCUCCUUUCUUCAUUAAAUUCAUAAUAAUUUACUACAAUAGUGAGAUUACAAUAUAUUAUUUAAUUAUGCCAGUGUUAUAUAUACAAAGCUAUCAUAUCUGAUAAGGAUUUGGGAUAUAACCAAUAAAAGUGGUGUGAAACCUUGGUUCACACUGAAAACCCUCAUUCGCAGCAACUUCUUAGGAAGUCCACACAUGCAGUCAUGCACGUGUCUAUUUAUGCCUGUAUAUACAUAUCUGUGCAGGUUAUGUAGAAGAACUUCAGAACUUUCAGAGAGUUCUCAUUCUUCUUACCUAAAACCACCAGGAUGUGGUGACUUUCUAAUCUAACACUUCUUACCUGAUAUUUCUUACAUAGCUUAAUUUUAAUCCCUUACCUAAUAUGGAAAAUGUGAGUUCAUCCUCUAUAAGAAGGAAGUGAGCUCAUUAUAAUAUUGCUAGCAUCUGAGCCUAAGCAAAUACAAAUAUAUCUGGCAGCAGAUGCCCAAAAUAACAUCUAUUCGCAUGGUACAUGACCAGGAUCAUACCCAUCUCAUGUACCUUCCCUUCAGAGGGCAGGCAUAUAUAGUCAUUCUGUUGUUUCCAGGCAAACUUGGUGUCUUGAGGAUGUGAAAAGAGUACAGAAAAAAAAUACAACCCUGUGAUUGGAUUUUGAGUUCUCUUCAAUUCAUUAAAAAUAUUGAACACAAGAAAGAGAGAACCAUAUCAAAUUACUGAGCUUGAAAUCAUUCUUUUUCAAUUGAUACUAUUUAGAGCAAGUCUUUUCAUGAACUACUUCGAAAUGUUGAAAUGAUUGAAAGCCACCUUGGUACUUUUUCAUGCCAGUUGAAACAAGAUUCUGGCACAUUACUAGCACUCAUUUUAAGCUAGUUCAAUUUUUUACAUUAAUAAGAAAAGUGCCACUAAAAUAAAACUGAAUGAAAGCAUGAGAUGAUUAUAAGAUCAGAGAAAUUAUAACAAUGAUUUCUAAGAGAGUCAUGCACUACCACAACUCUUGGCUAAGUCAUAUUCUAGUUUCAGUAGCACACUUCUUUUCAAACAUAAUAAUAUUAAUAAAUAAAUAACAGCACUCGCUUACAUGAUUAAGAUAAUGAAGAAUAAGGUACUUAC
rnacentral:lncRNA from 1 species